CUCCUAUAGGCUAAUGAUCUUUCAUCUCCUCAGUCAUUGGUCAACAUUGGUGCUAAUCUGGAUUCCUUUUUUUUAUUGGACAUUGUCAGGCUAGGUGCCAACCCUCAGAGCCUCAAAGCUUAAUUGGACGACAGGGACGUCAUUCAGAGACGGCGCUUGGCGGAAGUACGUGUCGGAAAGGGGCCGAGUUCCUGUCGGGAAGCACGUGGGGGCGCUGGGCUGUCCUUGGGCUCUCCCCUCCGAGAGGACCUUGAGCUGGUGGACAGUCUCGGGGCGGGGGCUCGGGAAGCGGUAUCUUAAUUCAGCGCCGCUGAUGGUGACCUUGGCGAAGUCCUGGCCUUCCCUAACAGUCUAAACACGACUUUCCUUUUUCGGUAGUAAGAUUGGAAGCUUACAGACAGCUCAGCAGGUCAGCAAUCCCGACCGAUGCCACAUGUACAAUGAAGAAGGAAUAUUAAGGAGAGAAGUGGAAUAGUAUCAAUCACAUAAUCAUCAUAUAAAGUAAGAGCUGAAAAGGACCUACUGAAAUUGGCAACCAGGAACUCAUUCCAUGGUGAAGAUAAUUUCAAUGGACUUCAUCAGUUAACACCAGAUAUAAAAUUAUUCAUCUGUGCUCUUAUGGAGGACCUAUAUCCCGGCUGGUGUGGCUCAAUGGUUGAGUAUGAACCAA